AGGAUGAACGCUAGCGGCAGGCUUAAUACAUGCAAGUCGUGGGGCAGCACAGGUAGCAAUACUGGGUGGCGACCGGCAAACGGGUGCGGAACACGUACGCAACCUUCCUUUAAGUGGGGGAUAGCCCAGGGAAACUUGGAUUAAUACCCCGUACGAUUGAGGUGUGGCAUCACACUUUAAUGAAAGCUACGGCACUUGAAGAUGGGCGUGCGGCUGAUUAGGUAGUUGGCGGGGUAACGGCCCACCAAGCCAACGAUCAGUAACUGGUGUGAGAGCACGACCAGUCACACGGGCACUGAGACACGGGCCCGACUCCUACGGGAGGCAGCAGUAAGGAAUAUUGGUCAAUGGACGCAAGUCUGAACCAGCCAUGCCGCGUGGAGGAUGAAGGCCCUCUGGGUUGUAAACUUCUUUUAUCUGGGAAGAAACCACUCUUUUCUAAGGGUGUUGACGGUACCAGUUGAAUAAGCACCGGCUAACUCCGUGCCAGCAGCCGC
rnacentral:rRNA from 1 species